UCCAACUACGCUGGCAGUGAGUGGUUGUGGUGUGUCUACUUCAUACAGGAGGGGGGCAGAUUCAUUGAGUAGAAGUUCCAUUUGGUCAUCCUCCUUUGUGAAAACAGACUUGAAAAAGAGGUUCAGUUCAUUUGCUGUGUCUAGGUUGUCCGAAAUGAGUUCAUUACUGCUUUUCAAUAGCCUGCCAACAUGUUCUUUGACCCUUUUAUUGCUAUUCACAUAUCUAUUGAGUGCUUUGGGGUUUGUUUUCACCUCUUCAAAAAGUUUUUGCUCAUAGUCUUUUCGCACUUUCCUGAGUGUCUUGGUGCAGGCGUCUCUCUGUCUGAUGUAGUCUUGGUAGGUUCGCAGACAUUUGUUUGCAAGGUAACGCUUCCAGGCAAAAUGCUUCCUCCUGACGGCAAGGUUGUUGAACCAAUUAAGGCUGUUUGUCUUUCUCGGUUUCCACUUUCUUCCUUUCAGGUAUAAAUUCUUCUAUUCCUUCUUGUAAGAUUUCCUGAAUGGUGUAAGCAAUUUCAUUUGUGUCAAGAUGUUGUAAUAAUGAAUCCCAAUUUUUAUCGCUCAGUUUCUCUUUGAAGUCAAGAUAGUUUCCUUUGAAGUAGUUUAGGUUUUUCCUUUCAGGGUUUGUUUUGGUCUUGCAUUGGUAAAUAUAGUCGAAAGAGACAACACAGUGGUCACUUUUUCCUAAGGGGCUUAAAUAUUCAAUGUUUUCAAUGGAUUGCUGAUCGUUGGUCAGAAUAAGAUCUAAAGUGCUAGGUCUGUGGUUGCCCCUUACACGGGUGGGUUGGUUGAUGUGUUGUGUUAGGAAGGCAUCGUUCAUGGCAUCUAGGAACUUUUGUUCAGAGGAAAUACCAAGUCGCCUGUGACAUCAAGAUCAAGAAGAAGGGUGACUCCCGACCUCAAGUUCAAGUUCAGGCUUAAAAACACAGCAGAAGACG